AAAUUGGUUUUUGAACUUGUUCAAGAUUAAAAGGGAAUUUGGUUAGAAUCCAAAACUGUUCCCGCAACUGUAAGCUUUUGCCUCAUAAGAGGUUUUAUUAAUGCUUCGCCACUGUUCACCGAAUGGGAAGGUCAUUAAGUAAAGCGAGUCAGGAUACCUGCCUCUUUAUAA
rnacentral:ncRNA from 1 species